rnacentral:rRNA from 1 species
CGGGACGGGUGAGUAAUGUCUGGGAAACUGCCUGAUGGAGGGGGAUAACUGCUGGAAACGGUAGCUAAUACCGCAUAACGUCGCAAGACCAAAGGGGGGGACCUUCGGGCCUCUUGCCAUCGGAUGUGCCCAGAUGGGAUUAGCUAGUAGGUGGGGUAACGGCUCACCUAGGCGACGAUCCCUAGCUGGUCUGAGAGGAUGACCAGCCACACUGGAACUGAGACACGGUCCAG